UGGUCCUUGCUUGUUGGGUGGCCAGGAAAUAACAGCUUUGCACAGGCUGCUCAAGGUGAGGCUGCUUCUGAAGAAACCCAACAGUAGACUCUGGUGUGAAGAACAAAGACACACAGCUUGAGCCUGGGGAUGGACACCUCCCAGCAGCCCUGGCUGCCACUCACUGCUGUGCUGCAGCCUGAGAUGAGAAUACUGAUGUUCAGAGCAACCGACUGAACCCCUGGAAGUCACUCAUACUGAAAAUGGCAAAGCAGUAUCUGCCCCUGCUCUGUCCAAUGCUAACAGGACUGCUGAGGCCUCCCCUCCACCUCGCCUCAAGUUGACAUUGGGCCUGUGGAAAUAGACCUCUAAGCCAGCCUUUCUUGCUAGUUUGGUUUUAGCCUUUCUUGGACUCAGCUUUGCCAUCUGUGAAAUAUGUGAGUCAUCUAGAUAGUGUCUGAAACCUACCAGCUCCAAGUCUAUGGUCCACGGAUGGGCUGUGAGGACAAUCAAGACUGAGGCAGGUUUUCACUCAAGUCCUGGAAUAUCUGGUCAUCCUUCCAGGGUUCUUCAUGGCAGGGAAACAAAAUCAACAACUGAAGAACAUGAGGUUCAGGAGAUUUAAGUCUGAGUUCCAGUGUUGGCUUUGGGUGCCUCUAAUCAACCACAAAUCUAUCCCAAGCCCGAGGCAGGCUGGUCUUACUCAACAUUUAUGGGGUCUUGCAGGGCUUAUGAGUGAGCUCAUGUGGGUGAGCUGUGGGUACCACAGGACCAGCACAGAUUGCUCCAGCACAUUGUCCAGCCACGAGACAGAAUUUCCCUCUUACAGAUCCAUUGAAUAGCCCUGGCCUGUGGGUUUGCUGUAAAGAUGCAAAAGCCCUGAAGCAUUAUCUGCCAAACCUCAGCCCUGACCAUGGUUAGGCUGACAUCAGGGGAGGCAGCAGGAGAGGGAGAGAAAAGGGUAUCUCAUUGUGGAACUGGGGCAGUGGUGGGCAGGGGCUGAUGCAGGAGGGGUGCCAUGGCCCAACUGCUCUUCACCCACGGUCCUUACACAGACCUGAUCCUGCUAAUUCUGACUCAGCUUUCAGACUCAGCCUGCGGACACUCAAUUUUUAGUAAUAAGCA
rnacentral:lncRNA from 1 species